rnacentral:tRNA from 1 species
GCCUUCGUGGUGUAGUGGUCACCACGGCCCGUAUUCGAGAGGUCCGCGGUUCGAGUCCCGGCAAGGGCA